rnacentral:tRNA from 1 species
GCGCCCGUAGCUCAACGGAUAGAGCAGUAGACUUCUAAUCUGAAGGUUGCAGGUUCGAUUCCUGCCAGGCGCGCCA